rnacentral:sRNA from 1 species
CAAGAGAAAUUGUUGGAUUUUAAGGAAUCAAGCAAGUAAAGGUAUAGGUGGUGAGCCCCUUGGUAAGAGUAAGGAUAUCAUACCCGAUGAUCAAAAAUAGGAGUACUCCAUACUCUCAUUAAGACUCAGGAAAAUCUGUAGACCGCCGAUUUUGUCGAUGGUUUGCUGUUGGAUUCGCACCUUUAGAAAUCGCAGGUUUACAGUUGUGUUUAUUUUGGUUAUUUUGGGACCCACAUGUCAUUGUAGAAUAUUUUGUAUACUUGGCUACGUGUGCCACUGUAUGU